rnacentral:rRNA from 1 species
GAUGAACGCUGGCGGCGUGCCUAAUACAUGCAAGUCGAGCGAACAGACGAGGAGCUUGCUCCUCUGCUGUUAGCGGCGGACGGGUGAGUAACACGUGGAUAACCUACCUAUAAGACUGGGAUAACUUCGGGAAACCGGAGCUAAUACCGGAUAACAUGUUGAACCGCAUGGUUCAACAGUGAAAGACGGUCUUGCUGUCACUUAUAGAUGGAUCCGCGCCGCAUUAGCUAGUUGGUAAGGUAACGGCUUACCAAGGCAACGAUGCGUAGCCGACCUGAGAGGGUGAUCGGCCACACUGGAACUGAGACACGGUCCAGACUCCUACGGGAGGCAGCAGUAGGGAAUCUUCCGCAAUGGGCGAAAGCCUGACGGAGCAACGCCGCGUGAGUGAAGAAGGUCUUCGGAUCGUAAAACUCUGUUAUUAGGGAAGAACAAAUGUGUAAGUAACUAUGCACGUCUUGACGGUACCUAAUCAGAAAGCCACGGCUAACUACGUG